GCAUGUGGUUUAAUUCGAUGCAACGCGAAGAACCUUACCUACUCUUGACAUCCAGAGAAUUUGCUAGAGAUAGCUUAGUGCCUUCGGGAACUCUGAGACAGGUGCUGCAUGGCUGUCGUCAGCUCGUGUUGUGAAAUGUUGGGUUAAGUCCCGCAACGAGCGCAACCCUUAUCCUUUGUUGCCAGCGAGUAAUGUCGGGAACUCAAAGGAGGCUGCCGGUGAUAAACCGGAGGAAGGUGGGGAUGACGUCAAGUCAUCAUGGCCCUUACGAGUAGGGCUACACACGUGCUACAAUGGCAUAUACAAAGAGAAGCGAACUCGCGAGAGCAAGCGGACCUCAUAAAGUAUGUCGUAGUCCGGAUUGGAGUCUGCAACUCGACUCCAUGAAGUCGGAAUCGCUAGUAAUCGUAGAUCAGAAUGCUACGGUGAAUACGUUCCCGGGCCUU
rnacentral:rRNA from 1 species